rnacentral:ncRNA from 1 species
GAUAAAUUUUUUAUGUUUUUAUAAAUUUAUUAUAAAUUUAUUUUACAUGUAAAUUUUAGUAUGAAAUUUUAAUUAUUUGAAUAAUAAUUAAUUUAAUUAUACAGUAAUUAAAAUUAAAAAUUUAAGAAAUUAAGAUUUAGUAAUAUUUAAAUUAAUAACUAAUUUUGUGCCAGCAGUUGCGGUUAAACAAAAGUUAAAUUAAAUUAUUUCAGUAUGUAAUAAAUAAUAAAUAAUUAAAUUAAAUAUUAAAUUAUUAAGUGAAAUUUUAAUUUAAUUAAAAAUUAUAUUAAAAUUAUGAUUUAUUAAAUUUUAUUGUAAACUAGGAUUAGAUACCCUACUAUUAAAAAUUUAAUUGAAAAUACUAAAAUAGUAAAUAAAAUAUUAUUGAAACUUAAAUAAUAUGGCGGUAUUUUAGUUCAUUUAGAGGAAUCUGUCUAAUAAUUGAUAAUCCACGAAUAAAUUUACUUAAUUUAUAAUUUUGUAUAUCAUUGUUAAAAAAAUAUUUUUAAAUAAAAAUAAUAUUUUAAAAUUUAAAAUAAAAUUUAAUUCAGAUCAAGAUGCAGAUUAUAAUUAAGUUUAAGAUGGGUUACAAUAAAUUUAUUUAAAUGGAAAAGAUUUUGUAAAAUUUAAUUAAAAGUGGAUUUAAAUGUAAUUUUAAUUAAUUUAUUAAAAUGAUUAAAAAAUUAAAAUAUGUACAUAUUGCCCGUCACUUUCAUUUGAAAAUUGAAAUAAGUCGUAACAAAGUAGAGGUACUGGAAAGUGUUUCUAGAAUGAA